GAUGAAGAACGCAGCGAAAUGCGAUAAGUAAUGUGAAUUGCAGAAUUCAGUGAAUCAUCGAAUCUUUGAACGCACAUUGCGCCCGCCAGUAUUCUGGCGGGCAUGCCUGUCCGAGCGUCAUUUCAACCCUCGAACCCCUCCGGGGGGUCGGCGUUGGGGACCUCGGGAGCCCCUAAGACGGGAUCCCGGCCCCGAAAUACAGUGGCGGUCUCGCCGCAGCCUCUCCUGCGCAGUAGUUUGCACAACUCGCACCGGGAGCGCGGCGCGUCCACGUCCGUAAAACACCCAACUUCUGAAAUGUUGACCUCGGAUCAGGUAGGAAUACCCGCUGAACUUAAGCAUAUCAAAAGCGGAGGA
rnacentral:misc_RNA from 1 species